CAUAAAUUAUAGCAAUGAAAAGGAAAAUAGCAUAAAAUAAAAUACCAAAUCAAAACAAUAAAUUGGUCCCUAAAUUGCUCAUAAUAAAAACUACAUUAAAGUGAACCGCAGAGUGAAGCCGUAGACCAGAGUAUGUAUAAAAAUCUCAUUAGACUAGUGACAGGCAACCCAUCUUCAUGCAACUCAAUAUAUCCAGCCUUUACCGGUCAAAAUAACACACAAGCAUAUUUCUAAUGUCAAGGUAAAAGCAAUUGCCUUUAAUUCAUAUCUACUAAACCUAAAAAAACAAAUCCACCCAUUAACAAUUUUCUCUACCGAAAAAUCUCAGAUAUGGAUUGACCAAUAAACAUAUACAAGCAAGUGAUCAUACUCUGAUCCAUUGUAUUCACUCCAGCCCAUACAAG
rnacentral:misc_RNA from 1 species